rfam:Mustela putorius furo unplaced genomic scaffold scaffold00115, whole genome shotgun sequence.
AAAUACUGAAAGUUAAUUUAUACAAAGGCCUGUGGCAGGUGGGGAUGUGAUUUUUGCCUAGUGUUCUGAAUGUCAAAGUGAAUACAUUCACUGAAGCGCAGAUAAAUUGGUGGUUGUAACCAUGACUCUCUUAAGAUAGCCAAAUGCUCCACCAUCUAAUUAGGGGCAUGCAUGAAUGGCUGAAUGAUAUUU